rnacentral:tRNA from 1 species
UGGAAUAGCUCAGACGGUAGAGCGACGCUCUCGUAAAGCGUAGGUCGAGGGUUCAAGUCCCUUUUCC